rnacentral:misc_RNA from 1 species
AAUGUUUUAAUGGUUGUCGUUGAUCGAUUCUCAAAGUACGGACAUUUUUUUGCUCUCACUCACCCGUACACCGCUGUAAGUGUUGCUCGCACCUUCUUUGACAACAUUUUUAAAUUACAUGGGUUGCCAGAAACUAUGGUCAGUGACAGGGAUGUGACUUUCACAAGUUCUUUUUGGAAAGAACUAUUCCGUUUAUGUGGG